rnacentral:rRNA from 1 species
GACGAACGCUGGCGGCGUGCCUAAUACAUGCAAGUCGAACGCUUUUUCUUUCACCGGAGCUUGCUCCACCGAAAGAAAAAGAGUGGCGAACGGGUGAGUAACACGUGGGUAACCUGCCCAUCAGAAGGGGAUAACACUUGGAAACAGGUGCUAAUACCGUAUAACACUAUUUUCCGCAUGGAAGAAAGUUGAAAGGCGCUUUUGCGUCACUGAUGGAUGGACCCGCGGUGCAUUAGCUAGUUGGUGAGGUAACGGCUCACCAAGGCAACGAUGCAUAGCCGACCUGAGAGGGUGAUCGGCCACACUGGGACUGAGACACGGCCCAGACUCCUACGGGAGGCAGCAGUAGGGAAUCUUCGGCAAUGGACGAAAGUCUGACCGAGCAACGCCGCGUGAGUGAAGAAGGUUUUCGGAUCGUAAAACUCUGUGUUAGAGAAGAACAAGGAUGAGAGUAGAACGU